GUACUACUAGGAGUUCCCUUCAAGCACUUUAUGAAGCACCUUUUUGAGAGCUUAUGUGAAGUGUUUGGGGGGAACUCUCAGUGUGAU
rnacentral:pre_miRNA from 1 species